rfam:Ictidomys tridecemlineatus contig103592, whole genome shotgun sequence.
GAGGGUGGAGCUCAAUGAUUAGAGCACUUGCCUAGCAUGUGGGAGGCCCUGGGUUCAAUCCCCAGUGCCCCA